rnacentral:rRNA from 1 species
GACAUGUUGGAAGUAGUGACCUGAAAGGGAAGCGACCUGUUGAGUCAGGAGCCAACACAGGUGCUGCAUGGUUGUCGUCAGCUCGUGCCGUGAGGUGUUAGGUUAAGUCCUGUAACGAGCGCAACCCUUAUUGCUAGUUGAUUUUUCUAGCGAGACUGCCCUGCAAAACGGGGAGGAAGGUGGGGAUGACGUCAAAUCAGCAUGGCCCUUAUGCCUUGGGCUACACACACGCUACAAUGGGUGGUACAAUAGGUAGCAAUGGAGCAAUCCGGAGCCAAUCCAGAAAACCAUCCUCAGUUCGGAUUGCAGGCUGAAACUCGCCUGCAUGAAGUUGGAGUUGCUAGUAACCGCAGGUCAGCACACUGCGGUGAAUACGUUCUCGGGCCUUGUACACACCGCCCGUCACGUCAUGAAAGUUGGCAACACCUGAAGUCGAUGGGCUAACCUCGAUUUAUCGGGGAGGCAGUCGCCGAGGGUGGGGUUGAUGAUUGGGACGAAGUCGUAACAAGGUA